rnacentral:lncRNA from 1 species
ACCUGGUUUCAUGGUUUGGUCUCUGGAAUGAGGUGUUUCAAAUGGGCAUUAGGCACGAGUAUUUUUUUCACAUGUAGGAAAAGACUUGAGGUGGUCAACUCACUGGUGCCUUCAAGACAUACCAUGACCUAACAGCAACACUUUUCAGAGGGAAGGCAACUCUGCCCAGUUGGGGACCACCUGCUCUCUACAUAAUGAUGGCUCUUUCUCCAAACAUGUGUGGCACUUCUGGUUCAGCGUGGCUUUGCAAACACUGCAUACCAGGAAUACACAGUAUAAAAUAUCUUUGGAGAGAACAUAUGUGAUUGAAAAAGACCCACUCCCCAAGUAGCCUGGAUAAUGAAAAUAAGGAAAGAUUGAGGAAGAACACCAGAAGAGCAGCCCUUUACAUGGGAGGGGGCUUUUCCCCUAGGGGAAAAUAUCUACCAUCCUUUAACCUGAUCUCCGCAUCAUACCAUUUGAGAAGACAAGGUGUCAUACAGGUGCUUUAAUCCCUAUCUUUCAGUGGGGAGCAAUUAUUGUAAUGGACAGAUUUCUAGGGUCAGGGCAGGAAGGAGUGAAGAAUCUGGUACAAGUGUGCUGCUUUUUCCCUUGUGUUGUAUAUCCUCCUGAAACACAGACACCUGCUUGGUGCUGAGUUCAUGCCCAGGACUGUUGCUUGAACCAAAAUCUCUUUUUCUCUCUCUCACUCUGACUCUCUCUCACUUCACUUCUCUCUCCUUCAGUUUCUCUUGAAUCCUCCUGCCCCAAGGUUAUCUUUGGUAAGCCUGGAUGACAUAUCUCAGCCAGGAUAUCAGUCGAAUUGUUUAUAAAACAUGUUCCCUCCAUCUUCCAAUCCCCUAUCAAAUAUACAAGCAGUGGUCCAGAAAGAACUCCUCUCUUCGUAUAGAGACAUACCAACUUGGAUAUCCUACCCCCACUCUUCACAUUGUCAGCCCAGCAUGGUGACCCGCUGACCACCUCAUAUGUACUGCUGUAUAUGUUGUCCCAUAUUUGACUCAGAGAUCAACACAUUUUCAACCACGUUCACAUGAGAGCCCUACCAAGAAUUAGCUUACCUACAGAAGACCCCACAUGAAUGAUCAGGUCUUUUGGAUUUGUUGGGGAGGUGGAUCUCUGGACUUGUGCUUCAGAGAUUUAGGAAAUGAAGUCUGUGACUCUCCAUGUCUCAGUGAAUUGGCAUCUGAACACUAGUCUGAGCUCCCUUAAGCAUGGCCUGCCUGCUAAUGGGCCAGAGCACGUGUUUUCUGUCAUCCAAAACCAGUAUCUAUUUGGGACACUACUAAUCCUGCUCUACACAAUAUAUUGGCAGGUCCAGGUUUUCCUCUUCACCAACAGGGAAACCUCAAGACCCUCCGAUUGAAUCCGUCACCACAGGACACAUGGAGGAUCAGAAGAGAGACCCUUCUUCCCUUCCUAACCAUUGUGGACACCACACACAAGCUGGCAGUGGCCCUAGUCACCACACUUAGCUUGCCCACCCAGAGAGAUAGGCCUUCAGCUUAUCAACAUGUGAAACAUCCACCAGAAAUAUCUCAGCUUCAUGCUCAUAAAAUUCCUUUCCUUUUGAUGGCUAGCAUGUGAUUUCAGCUAUUGACAUGUAUAUUCUGUAGUGUGGAGUUGUAAUUUCACCCAUUGGAAUAUUUUCUUCAGGAGUGAUAUCUAGGACCUCACACUUGGUUGAAGGUUGAGGGGCUUGGUUUCAUUUUUUGAGCUCUGGAAUGAGGUGUUUCAUAUGAGGAUCAAGCACAAGUCUUGUUUCAUGUCUAGGAAAAGAUUGAGGUUGUCAGCUCAAUGGUCCCUAAAUAUACACCAUGGUCAAACAGCAAGACUGUACAAUUGAUUUUUAGCCCAGGAGCCUGAUGAGAGUAGUGGCCAUGAGGCAAAAGAUGGAGAUAAUACAGUUCCUCAAAUUGUACCAACCAUCUGAUGGAUCAUCCUUCACUUCAGUAUCAACAUAACUCCAGAAAAAAUCUCAGGGUGCCCAUCAACCAUUCCUCGAAGUGUGAUGGUGAGAAUUUCCCACUUGUGGCCCAUCAUGCCCCUCUCCUCUCAAAGAGAGGCUAUUGUGUCACAAGGCUCAAUGGGCAUCCUGCCAUUGCCAUUGCAACCAGUUUGCCUGGACCUUUCAUAGGGAAGCCAACUCUGCCCACUCUGGGCCCACCUUCACUAUACAUAAUGAUGGUUCUUUACCUGAACAUGUGUGGCAAUUCAGGGUCAAUGUGAUUUUUCACUGCAUCCCAGGAAUACAUGUUACAUAAUUUCAUUUGUAAUGAAAAUACGUGAUUUAAAAAGUCCCACUAAUCAAGGAGCCUGGAUAAUGAAAUGAAAGAUCAGUGAGGAAGAACACCACAUGGGCACCCCUUUACAUGGGAAGGGGCUUUUAUCCUUAGGGAAAGUAUUUACUGUCCUUCAACCUGAUUUACAAAUCAUGCCAUUUGAGAAGAUAAGGAUGCCAAAGAGGGGCUUUAACCCCUAUUUUCCGGCAGGGAGCAGUGAUAGUAAUGGACACAUUUUUAGAGUCAGGGUAAGAAGGAGUGAAAAUCUUGUACAAGAGUGCUGGUUUUUCCCUUGUGGUGGAUAUCCUCCUGAAACACAGACACCGGCUUAGCAAUGAGAUUGUGCACUGGACUGUUGCCUGAAUCAAAAUCUCUUUCUCUCUCUCUCUUGCUCUCUCUCAAAUUCUCCCUCCUUCACUUUCCCCGAAUCUUCCUGCUCCAAGUUUACAUGUGGUGAACCUGGAUGACCUAUCUCAGACAGGAUAGCAGUCCAAGUCUUUACACAUUUUCCCUCCAUCUUCUGAUCCCUUAUCAAAUAAUCAAGUGGUGGUCCAGAAAGCACUCCUCUGUUGUUAUACAGACAUUCCAACUCAUCCAGACUACCCCCACUCUUCCCAUUUUCAGCCUUUCACUGUGACCCUCUGACCACCUCAUAUGUACUGUGGUCUAUGUGGUCCCAUAUUUCACUCAGAGAUAAACACAUUUUCAUACACAUUCACAUGAAGACUCCUGAAAGAUUUAGAUUACCUGAAGCAGACUCCACCUGGAUGAUGAGGUUUUGUGGAUUUGCUGCAGAGGUGAUCUCUGGACUUGUGCUUGGGGAAUAUAGGAAAUUAGGUCUGUUACCCUCCAUGCUUCAGUGAAUUGGUAUCCAAACUCUGUGCUGAGCACCCUUGAGAAGGGUCUGCCUGACAAUAGGCCAGAGCACCCAUUUUAUGUAACCCAAAACCAGUCUCUCUUAGGGACACUCCUCAUCUUUCUCUAGUCCCAUGAUUGGAAGGGCCAGAAUCCCCUCUCCUCAAAGAGGGAAACCUCAAGAUACUCCAAUUGAAGCCAUAACCACAGGACUCAUGGAGAUUCAGAAGAGAGACACUCCUUCCUUUCCUGACCAAUGUGGACAACCACAAACAAGCUGGUAGUGUCCCUAGUUACCACACUAACAGCCAGCACCCAAAAAGACAGUUCUUGUGCUUAUCGAGCUGUGAAAUAUCCACCAGAAAUAUACCAGGGUCAUUCUCUUGAAAAUUCCUUUGCUUUGGAUGGCUAGCCUGUGAUUUCAGGUAUUGACACGUAUAUUCAGAAGCAUGAAGUUUUAAUUUCCCCCCUUUUAAUAUCUUCCUCAGGGGUUAUAUAGAGGGCCUCACACUUACUUGAAGGCAGAAGGGUCUGGUUUCAUGGUUUGGGCUCUGGAAUGAGUUGUUUCAUAUGGACAUUAGGCAUGAGUCUUUUUUCACAUGUAGGAAAAGACUUGAGGUGGUCAGCUCACUGGUCCCUUUAUGAUAUAACAUGAUCAAACAUCAUGCCUGUAUAAUUGAUGUUUAGCUCAGGGGACUGAGGCAAGUUGUCUCCAUGAGGUUUCAUAUGGAGAUAAUACUGUUGGUCAAAUUGUACCACCCAUCUGAUGGAUCAUCCUUUGUAUCAGUAUCAACAUACCUCCAGAAAAACAGCUCAGGGUGUCCAUCGUCCAACCCUCAAGAUGUGAGUCUCAGAGCUUCCCACAUGGGGCCUUUCACACCACUCUCCUCUCACAGAGAGUCUGUUGUGUCACAAGACUCGAUGGGCAUCAUGGCAUUGCGGUGGCAAGUAGUUUGCCUGGACCUUUGAGAGGGAAGGCAACUCUGCCCGCUCUGGGCCCAACUGCUCUCUAUAUAAUGAUGACUCUUUCACCAAAUAUGUGUGGCAAUUCAGAGUCAACGUGGUUUUUCAAACGCUACAACCCACAAAUACACAUUACAAAAUCUAAUUUGGAAAUAAAACAUGUGUUUGAAGAAGAUCCACUCCCUAAGUGGCCUGGAAAAUGUAAACAAGGAAAGAGUGAGGAAGAACACCACAUGACCAGCCCUUUACAGGUGAAGGGCUUUUCUGAUGGAUCAUCCAUUACAUCAGUAUCAAUAAACCUCCAGAAUAAGAGCUCAGGGUGCCCAUCACAGAACCCUCAAGGUGUGAGGUUGAGAGUUUCCCACAUGGGGUCCAUCAUGCCCGUCUCAUCUCAUAGAGAGGCUGUGGUGUCACAAGGCUCAAUGGUCAUCAUGCCAUUGCCUUGGCAAAUCCAACUCUUGUGAUUGUCAGACCUACACAGUGACCCACUGACCACCUCAUAUGUACUGUGGUUUACGUGGUCCCAUGUUUAACACAGAGAUCAACACAUUAUCAACCACGUUCACAUCAGGGCUAUAGCAAGUAUUACCUUACUUGCAGCUGACCCCACCUGGAUAAUCAGGUCUUGUGGAUUUUCUGGGGAGGCGGAUAAUUGGAGUCGUGCUUGGGUUAUUUAGGAAAUAAGUCUGUUUCUCUCCAUGUCUCAGUGAAUUGGCAUCUGAACAACUAUCUGAGCACCCUGAGCAGGACCUGGUUGACAACUGGCCAGAGACCAAGAGUUCUGUCACACAAAACCAGUCUCUGUUUGGGUCAAUCCUCAUCCUUCUCUACACCCUCGAUUGACAGAGCCAGAGUCCCCUCUCCUGCAAGAGGGAAACCUCAAGACACUCCAUUUGAAGCCCUCACCACAGGGCUCAUGGAGGAUCAGAAGAGAGACCCUCCUUCCCUUCCUUACAAUUGUGGACACCACAAACAAGCUUGCAGUGGUCCUAGUCACCACCCUAAGAGCCAGCACCCAAAGACAACGUGCUCAUGCUAAUCAACC